AACCUUAUGGACCUGCGGGCGUAUACCUGCGGAGGGAUCAUUACCAGAGAGCCUUUUGGCACUCCAACCCAUUGUGAACAUACCUAUCGUUCCCUCGGCGGGCUCAGCGCGCGGGGCCUCCGGGCUUCCGGGCGUCCGCCGGGGACAACCAAACCCUGAUUUACUACGUGUAUCUCUGAGGGGCGAAAGCCCGAAAACAAAAUAAAUCAAAACUUUUAACAAUGGAUCUCAGAUCGGAAG
rnacentral:misc_RNA from 1 species